CAGAAUACAAAUCCUCCACCGUAUCCUGUCCGUUGCAUCCCCUCCCACCUGCUACCACUUCUAUCCACUUUACCGAUAUGGUCACGAUGAGCGCUACAAAAUUGCUGCCAAAUAAUGUUGUGAACUACUUGUCAUGGGAUAACCAAAAUUAAACCUGGAAUCUCAGAAGAAACAAAUUGUUUGAAGAAGUUGGAUGUGCUUUAAAAUUUUUAAAUUUUUCAUUCAACUAAAACUUUGUGAACUGUU